UACGUAGGGUGCGAGCGUUGUCCGGAAUUAUUGGGCGUAAAGAGCUCGUAGGCGGCUUGUUGCGUCGGAUGUGAAAGCCCGGGGCUUAACUCCGGGUCUGCAUUCGAUACGGGCAGGCUAGAGUUCGGUAGGGGAGAUCGGAAUUCCUGGUGUAGCGGUGGAAAUGACGCAGAUAUCAGGAGGAACACCGGUGGCGAAGGCGGAUCUCUGGGCCGAUACUGACGCUGAGGAGCGAAAGCGUGGGGAGCGAACAGG
rnacentral:rRNA from 1 species